AUUCCGGUUGAUCCUGCCGGAGGCCACUGCUAUGGGGGUCCGACUAAGCCAUGCGAGUCAAGGGGGCGUCCCUUCUGGGACGCCACCGGCGGACGGCUCAGUAACACGUCGGUAACCUACCCUCGGGAGGGGGAUAACCCCGGGAAACUGGGGCUAAUCCCCCAUAGGCCUGGGGUACUGGAAGGUCCCCAGGCCGAAAGGGAGCCGUAAGGCUCCGCCCGAGGAUGGGCCGGCGGCCGAUUAGGUAGUUGGUGGGGUAACGGCCCACCAAGCCGAAGAUCGGUACGGGCCGUGAGAGCGGGAGCCCGGAGAUGGACACUGAGACACGGGUCCAGGCCCUACGGGGCGCAGCAGGCGCGAAACCUCCGCAAUGCGGGAAACCGCGACGGGGGGACCCCCAGUGCCGUGCCUCUGGCACGGCUUUUCCGGAGUGUAAAAAGCUCCGGGAAUAAGGGCUGGGCAAGGCCGGUGGCAGCCGCCGCGGUAAUACCGGCGGCCCGAGUGGUGGCCACUAUUAUUGGGCCUAAAGCGGCCGUAGCCGGGCCCGUAAGUCCCUGGCGAAAUCCCACGGCUCAACCGUGGGGCUCGCUGGGGAUACUGCGGGCCUUGGGACCGGGAGAGGCCGGGGGUACCCCCGGGGUAGGGGUGAAAUCCUAUAAUCCCGGGGGGACCGCCAGUGGCGAAGGCGCCCGGCUGGAACGGGUCCGACGGUGAGGGCCGAAGGCCAGGGGAGCGAACCGGAUUAGAUACCCGGGUAGUCCUGGCUGUAAAGGAUGCGGGCUAGGUGUCGGGCGAGCUUCGAGCUCGCCCGGUGCCGUAGGGAAGCCGUUAAGCCCGCCGCCUGGGGAGUACGGCCGCAAGGCUGAAACUUAAAGGAAUUGGCGGGGGAGCACUACAAGGGGUGGAGCGUGCGGUUUAAUUGGAUUCAACGCCGGGAACCUCACCGGGGGCGACGGCAGGAUGAAGGCCAGGCUGAAGGUCUUGCCGGACGCGCCGAGAGGAGGUGCAUGGCCGCCGUCAGCUCGUACCGUGAGGCGUCCACUUAAGUGUGGUAACGAGCGAGACCCGCGCCCCCAGUUGCCAGUCCCUCCCGCUCGGGAGGGAGGCACUCUGGGGGGACUGCCGGCGAUAAGCCGGAGGAAGGGGCGGGCGACGGUAGGUCAGUAUGCCCCGAAACCCCCGGGCUACACGCGCGCUACAAUGGGCGGGACAAUGGGUGCCGACCCCGAAAGGGGGAGGUAAUCCCCUAAACCCGCCCUCAGUUCGGAUCGCGGGCUGCAACUCGCCCGCGUGAAGCUGGAAUCCCUAGUACCCGCGCGUCAUCAUCGCGCGGCGAAUACGUCCCUGCUCCUUGCACACACCGCCCGUCACUCCACCCGAGCGGGGCCUAGGUGAGGCCCGAUCUCCUUCGGGAGGUCGGGUCGAGCCUAGGCUCCGUGAGGGGGGAGAAGUCGUAACAAGGUAGCCGUAGGGGAACCUACGGCUCGAUCACCUCCUAUC
rnacentral:rRNA from 11 species